AUUGAACGCUGGCGGUAUGCUUAACACAUGCAAGUCGAACGGUAGCAGGCCUUCGGGCGCUGACGAGUGGCGGACGGGUGAGUAACGCGUAGGAAUCUGCCUGGUAGUGGGGGACAACUUAGGGAAACUUAAGCUAAUACCGCAUACGCUCCUUAUUGAAAGAUGGGGAGGAAAGCGGGGGACCUUCGGGCCUCGCGCUAUCAGAUGAGCCUGCGUUAGAUUAGCUAGUUGGUGGGGUAAAGGCCUACCAAGGCGACGAUCUAUAGCUGGUCUGAGAGGACGAUCAGCCACACUGGGACUGAGACACGGCCCAGACUCCUACGGGAGGCAG
rnacentral:rRNA from 1 species